rnacentral:rRNA from 1 species
UACGUAGGGGGCUAGCGUUGUCCGGAAUCAUUGGGCGUAAAGAGCGUGUAGGCGGUCCGGUAAGUCCGCUGUGAAAGUCGGGGGCUCAACCCUCGAAUGCCGGUGGAUACUGUCGGGCUAGAGUGCGGAAGAGGCGAGUGGAAUUCCUGGUGUAGCGGUGAAAUGCGCAGAUAUCAGGAGGAACACCUAUUGCGAAGGCAGCUCGCUGGGACGUAACUGACGCUGAGACGCGAAAGCGUGGGGAGCAAAGAGG